UUUUGGAUGUAAAACCAUUUCUUCCCGGCCCGUUCCCUGCAUCUAUUGUACUACAACUAAAUUCUAUCGUUUCUCAUAUAUUUUAUACCUUUCAGCCGCUCCUGUGUGUUUGAUUCUCUCCUAAGCAUGGACCAGAGGUUGAAGGACGCAGCUCAAGCAGGAGAUAUUGACGCCUUGUAUGCUUUAAUCCGUGAAGAUGCUCUUGUUUUGAAACGCAUCGAUGAGCUGCCUAUUGUUGACACUCCAUUACACAUAGCUGCAUCUGCAGGACAUGUUGAUUUUGCUAUGGUGAUUGUUAACUUGAAGGCAUCGUUUACCAGGAAGCUAAACCCAGAUGGGUUUAGCCCUAUGCACCUCGCUUUGCAAAACGGCAAAGAAGUGAUGGUGCUUUGGCUGCUAGACGUUGAUAAAGACCUUGUCCGUGUAAAAGCAAGAGGGGGUAAGACUCCUUUGCACGACGCAGCCGAAAUAGGCAACUUAUUAUCUUGUUUGGAUGGAUUCUUUGAUGCAUGCCCUGAAUCCAUCCAAGAUGUGACCAAUCAAGGUGACACGGCUCUACACAUUGCAUUAAGGAGCAAAAAAAUUAAAGCUUUUGAAAAACUGAUGGACUGGCUUAGAUGCUCCAUAUUCAUAGAUGCCCAAUUUUGGCAAGCAGAACUCCUUAACUGGAAAAACAAGCAAGGCGACACCCUGUUGCACAUUGCUGCUUCAAGCGAUCAAAUCCAGGUAGUGAAAAUGUUGAUAGGAAAACGCAAUGUUGUUAAGGACAUCAAAAAUUUGGAUGGAGAGACGGCAAUGCAUAUCCUGCGACGUCACCUAACCGACAGAGACAUUAGGGAUAUGCAAAAGUCUGCGCCAGGAUUUUUGUCAUCACUGCUGAAAAGUGUCAGGUUUAAUCAAAUUCAAGUGGGUGUCAAGGAAAGGUCAAAAAUUACCCAAUUGUUUCUUUCACUUUUGGUGUAUUUAGGUCGGACGAACAAAGAGACGCCAAGGGAGACUCGCGAUGCACUACUACUAGUUGAUACACUGAUCCUAACGGCCACCUACCAGGCAACACUGAGUCCCCCUGGUGGUGUUUGGCAGGGUUCAGCAUAUAUGAAUUCGCAUAUUCGCAUUAGUAACUCUACCACCGAAGCAACUUCUCCACACUUUACAGGGACAUCAGUCAUGUCUUCGGAAACUUUUCGGUUAUUUUGCCUAGCAAACACUUUAUUGUUUUUGGUAACAAGUUUACGAAUUCUUAUGACCUUUUUUCAAAACUUGAAAAAACUGUCGCUCACUCAUGUAUCUAUUGUUUGGUUGCUCUGUAGCUGCAUUUUUUCACUGAUAGUCAUAGCACCGACCGAUCGGCUUUCUCGUGAUUUUCGUAUAGUUUUUUAUUUCUAUAUAGCAAUUGUAGGUUUUUAUAUUGUAAUUUAUUUUUUUCCCCUCUUAUCACCAAGUAGAGAGCCUAAAGUGGAAUGGAGAAGACCUCGCCGGGGAAUUCGUCACCGGGAAGAAUGGUGGUAAUAGAUGUACUACACUGCGUUGAUGCUCUUCUAGAUUGUGAGCUCAAAGAUCUUUCUCAUUCUCAUUUGCUCAAUAGAUGUAUCAUGUCACUUCUUUCUCAAAAAUUAUAUUAUAUGAUUUCCCUACAGAUUUUCUUGUGUGAAUCUCUUUCACUAUUUAUUAAAUGUAUGAAUCUUAUAUAUUUGGAUUUUGAGUUUUGGAUAUAUGUGGACUUUGUCUACGCAAUAGAUUUCAU
rnacentral:misc_RNA from 1 species